CAGAUCUAUUGAGAUUCUACAAAUUCUGAAUGCCAGAGGCGGCUGCAUAACCACCCAGAGCUCUAGUCUCUCUCAAAGGGAGAGUUUCUCCUUCUAAAACCUGUUUCAGAGUCUGAGGACUCUUGAAGAGCUCCAUUCCUGAUGAGAUCAGCAGACAGCAGUCCCAGGAGGAGCAGUCCCUCUGAGGCAGCUUGGAAACCACUCACAUGCUCUGGGAAGACAGGGCUGAGCCUGGAGCAAGGAGGCACCCAGAGGGAAGGCGGAUGGUGGAGCACUGGAAGAGUACAGAUGGAAAGGAGAAACAUGCUAUGAAUGAAAAUGUACAAGAGGUCUCGUGCACCAGCCCUAUGCACUCACUAACCCGGAGAAACCCCUGUUCGUACUUUGCAGCCAAGUCAGCUCUAGGAAUCCGAUUUUGGAACAUUCAGUGACUGGAAUGGCGAUGGAAGUUUAUAGGAAAAGUUUUCUGGAAAAUACUAGGUGAGAUCAAAGAGAGAGCUUCUGCCACCUCGCAGGCAUAAAAACCUCCUACUUUGGCCCAGCUUGGCUUCCGAUCACAGUAGGAUUCCUGCCUCUCCCCACGCCCAAUCAGAACCAGCUCUUCUCUCUGAUACCAAAUACAAAGAAACAGACAACAUUUGCCCCGGCAUUCUCCAUCCAUUAAUAUGGACUAGAACCCAUCUUCCCUACCCCAUGUGGAUCAGGACUAUUUCUACUUCUUCUGCUCCCCUCAAUACAGAUUAGGACCAUUUCAGCUUCUGUUCACUCCCUCCCUCCCAACAUAGGCCAGUGCCUCCUCUGCUUCUGCAUUUCAUCAGGGACAUUACUCAAAAUCUGUUUGGAACCAAAGCCCACCCGAGACACGGUGGCCAUUGUGUCUAUGACCCUAGCUAAAACAGUCAUACUCUGGAGCCUGAGCUGGAGAAUGGAACUAGGACAACCCCCCCCACAAGUUUGUGCCCACACCUUGUUCCAUCUGAGUGUCUUGGGUUUUGUUUGUUUGUUUUGUUUUUUGAUUAAUUAUUUUUACACAAAUGGAGCACAACUUUUCAUUUC